GAUUGAACGCUGGCGGCAUGCUUUACACAUGCAAGUCGAACGGUAACGCGGGGGCAACCCUGGCGACGAGUGGCGAACGGGUGAGUAAUACAUCGGAACCGUGCCCAGUAGUGGGGGAUAGCUCGGCGAAAGCCGGAUUAAUACCGCAUACGACCUACGGGUGAAAGGCGGGGGAUCGCAAGACCUCGCGCUAUU
rnacentral:rRNA from 1 species